rnacentral:rRNA from 1 species
GGGGAAUCUUGCGCAAUGGGAGCAAUCCUGACGCAGCAACGCCGCGUGGGUGAUGAAGGUCUUCGGAUCGUAAAGCCCUGUCGGAGGGGAAGAUGCUUGUAACGUCUAAUAGAUGAGACAGGUGACGGUACCCUCAAAGGAAGCACCGGCUAACUCUGUGCCAGCAGCCGCGGUAAUACAGAGGGUGCAAGCGUUGUUCGGAAUUAUUGGGCGUAAAGGGAGUGUAGGCGGUUUGAAAAGUCUUCUGUGAAAUCUACGAGCUUAGCUUGUAAAGUGCAGAGGAUACUAUCAGGCUUGAGUAUCGGAGAGGAUAGGGGAAUACCCAGUGUAGAGGUGAAAUUCGUAGAGAUUGGGUGGAACACCAGUGGCGAAGGCGCCUAUCUGGCCGAUAACUGACGCUGAGACUCGAAAGCAUGGGGAGCAAAC